UGUUUUUUUCUUACAAUUGGCUGGAAAGAGUAUUUCAUUAGAAGAUAUACGGGAUACAGAUCCAUGCUUGUAUAGUAACUGCAGGCAGAUAAUGGAGAUGGUUUCCAAACCCAUUGUUUCUGAUGCUUUAGAACUGAGGUUUAUUGGGGGUGCAGAGUACAAAAGGAGCGCAGAACUUUGCCCUGAUGGAAAGAGCAUAGUUGUGAAUGGCAA
rnacentral:misc_RNA from 1 species